AUUGAACGCUGGCGGAAUGCUUUACACAUGCAAGUCGAACGGCAGCACGGGUGCUUGCACCUGGUGGCGAGUGGCGAACGGGUGAGUAAUACAUCGGAACGUACCCAGUUGUGGGGGAUAACUAACCGAAAGGUUAGCUAAUACCGCAUACGACCUGAGGGUGAAAGCGGGGGACCGUAAGGCCUCGCGCAAUUGGAGCGGCCGAUGUCUGAUUAGCUAGUUGGUAGGGUAAAGGCCUACCAAGGCGACGAUCAGUAGCUGGUCUGAGAGGAUGAUAAGCCACACUGGAACUGAGACACGGUCCAGACUCCUACGGGAGGCAGCAGUGGGGAAUUUUGGACAAUGGGCGAAAGCCUGAUCCAGCCAUUCCGCGUGAGUGAAGAGGGCCUUCGGGUUGUAAAGCUCCUUCGGCAGGGAAGAAACGGCCUAGGUUAAUACCUUGGGCUAAUGACGGUACCUGAAGAAGAAGCACCGGCUAACUACGUGCCAGCCGCCGCCGUAA
rnacentral:rRNA from 1 species